UAGAGUUUGAUCCUGGCUCAGGACGAACGCUGGCGGCGCGCCUAACACAUGCAAGUCGAACGAGCGAGAGAGAGCUUGCUUUCUUGAGCGAGUGGCGAACGGGUGAGUAACGCGUGAGGAACCUGCCUCAAAGAGGGGGACAACAGUUGGAAACGACUGCUAAUACCGCAUAAGCCCACGGUGCCGCAUGGCACAGAGGGAAAAGGAGCAAUCCGCUUUGAGAUGGCCUCGCGUCCGAUUAGCUAGUUGGUGAGGUAAUGGCCCACCAAGGCGACGAUCGGUAGCCGGACUGAGAGGUUGAACGGCCACAUUGGGACUGAGACACGGCCCAGACUCCUACGGGAGGCAGCAGUGGGGAAUAUUGCACAAUGGGGGAAACCCUGAUGCAGCGACGCCGCGUGGAGGAAGAAGGUCUUCGGAUUGUAAACUCCUGUUGUUGGGGAAGAUAAUGACGGUACCCAACAAGGAAGUGACGGCUAACUACGUGCCAGCAGCCGCGGUAAAACGUAGGUCACAAGCGUUGUCCGGAAUUACUGGGUGUAAAGGGAGCGCAGGCGGGAAGACAAGUUGGAAGUGAAAUCUAUGGGCUCAACCCAUAAACUGCUUUCAAAACUGUUUUUCUUGAGUAGUGCAGAGGUAGGCGGAAUUCCCGGUGUAGCGGUGGAAUGCGUAGAUAUCGGGAGGAACACCAGUGGCGAAGGCGGCCUACUGGGCACCAACUGACGCUGAGGCUCGAAAGUGUGGGUAGCAAACAGGAUUAGAUACCCUGGUAGUCCGCACGGUAAACGAUGGAUGCCCGCUGUUGGUCUGAAUAGGUCAGCGGCCAAGCGAAAGCAUUAAGCAUCCCACCUGGGGAGUACGCCGGCAACGGU
rnacentral:rRNA from 1 species